rnacentral:rRNA from 1 species
GAUGAACGCUGGCGGCGUGCCUAAUACAUGCAAGUCGAACGCAUUGUGGUUGAAAUGAUAUGAAGAACUUGUUCAGAUUUGAUUUUCAACAUUGCAAUGAGUGGCGAACGGGUGAGUAACACGUGGGAAACCUACCUCUUAGCAGGGGAUAACAUUUGGAAACAAAUGCUAAUACCGUAUAAUAAUUAAAAACCGCAUGGUUUUAGUUUAAAAGAUGGUCUUGCUAUCACUAAGAGAUGGUCCCGCGGUGUAUUAGUUAGUUGGUGAGGUAAUGGCUCACCAAGACAAUGAUACAUAGCCGAGUUGAGAGACUGACGGCCACAAUGGGACUGAGACACGGCCCAUACUCCUACGGGAGGCAGCAGUAGGGAAUCUUCCACAAAUGGACGAAAAGUCUGAUGGAGCAACGCCGCGUGUGUGAUGAAGGGUUUCGGCUCGUUAAAACACUGUUGUAAGGAGGAGAAUGACAUUGAGAGUAACUGUUCAAUGU